AUCCAUCUGACAAGUACCAAAUAGGACGAAACGCGCGUCCUAUAU
rnacentral:hammerhead_ribozyme from 1 species